rnacentral:rRNA from 1 species
UGAGGAAUAUUGGUCAAUGGGCGCAAGCCUGAACCAGCCAUGCCGCGUGCAGGAAGAAGCAUCUAUGGUGUGUAAACUGCUUUUAUACAGGAAGAAACAACGCUACGUGUAGCGUCUUGACGGUACUGUAAGAAUAAGGACCGGCUAACUCCGUGCCAGCAGCCGCGGUAAUACGGAGGGUCCAAGCGUUAUCCGGAAUCAUUGGGUUUAAAGGGUCCGUAGGCGGUCUUAUAAGUCAGUGGUGAAAUCUCCUAGCUCAACUAGGAAACUGCCAUUGAUACUGUAAGACUUGAAUUUUUGUGAAGUAACUAGAAUAUGUAGUGUAGCGGUGAAAUGCUUAGAUAUUACAUGGAAUACCAAUUGCGAAGGCAGGUUACUAACAAACGAUUGACGCUGAUGGACGAAAGCGUGGGGAGCGAACA